CAGCCCGCGGUAAUACAGAGGGUGCGAGCGUUAAUCGGAUUUACUGGGCGUAAAGCGUGCGUAGGCGGCUUCUUAAGUCGGAUGUGAAAUCCCUGAGCUUAACUUAGGAAUUGCAUUCGAUACUGGGAAGCUAGAGUAUGGGAGAGGAUGGUAGAAUUCCAGGUGUAGCGGUGAAAUGCGUAGAGAUCUGGAGGAAUACCGAUGGCGAAGGCAGCCAUCUGGCCUAAUACUGACGCUGAGGUACGAAAGCAUGGGGAGCAAACAGGAUUAGAUACCCGUGUAGUCCCUGUCUCUUAUACAC
rnacentral:rRNA from 1 species